rnacentral:lncRNA from 1 species
ACAACUCUAGACAAAAUUAAAAAUAAUAGAAGCUUUAUAUUACAAGCCAAGGCCUCGAGGGCUCGAAUACAUCAGCUCGAAAACACAAGAGACAACGGAAGCAACAAUAUCUGAGUACAGACAUAAGUUAGACAAGUUUGCCUUAAGAAGGCUAGCACAAGAGCAACAUCGAUCGAAAAGGCAAGGCCUCCUGCCUAGGAGCCUCCUAACUACUCCUAGUCGUCGGUGGCCUCCACGUAGUAGUAAGCGCCCUCGGGGUAGUAGUAGUUGUCGGUGGUGGCGUCUGGAUCUGGGGCUCCACCAUCUGGUUGCAACAUCCAAGAAGAACGGAAAAAAGGGGAAAGAGGGGAGCAAAGCAACCGUGAGUACUCAUCCAAAGUAGGAUCUACACUACAUAUGCAUCGGUGCCAAUGAAAUGGGUAGUAUAUGUGGAAUGAACUGCAGAAUGCCAGAAGAGAAGUGGAAAGCCUAGCCUAUCGUAGACUAGCAUCUUCAAGCAGCUCCAGGCAUCUUGCAGCAUCAGAAGAGAUAAGAGUAGGAUAAAGUAAAGUAGUACUAGUAGUGUAUCAACCUCGGCCAGAGAUCCUUUCUCGACUCCCUAUGAGAAAGCAAUCCUAGAGCCAUACUAUCCAUUUCUCAUCUCAAGUAUCCAGUUCUAGUUGUAUCGAUCGGGAUACAACUCCAAGUGUCCAUUACCGUAGGACAAACUAUUGAUAGAUGUUUUCUUCCCUGCAAGGGUGCACCAACUUACCCACCAUGCUCGAUUAACUCCGGCCGGACCCACUUUCCUGGGUCAUGCCCGGCCUCGGCCAAACAAUAUGCUGCAACCCGACCUAGGCUUAAAAGAGAGGUCAAGCACGCCGGACUAAAUCUAUGCCCCUAGGGGUCUUGGGCCAUUGCCCCGGGAACUCCUGCACAUUGCGUGGGCGGCCGGUGAGCAGACCUAGCUACCUCCUUAAAAAGGCAGGAGCUUACCAGUCCAACCCGGCGCGCGCCGCUCACUCGCUGGCGUCUAAUAAGCUUCGGCUGAUGUAUACGACGUAGAACACCCAUACUAUGCCCACGUGAUGGUUAGUGCUAUCAAGCCAGCGGCCCCUCGGAUCAAAUAUCCAAGCCGUUAGUGUGUUGGUAGUGCGGUCACAAGCAGAGACUCACGAAAGAUGUGACCCCGUCGCCCCGUCUCGAGUACUUGCAACAAGGGCUAAGAAUGCCCGGCCACGCCUCGUAAGUAUCUCACGGGCACCUUCCAAGUCAACCCGACUCCACAUCACUCGCUAUUAAGCUCGCGCGGGUACCCCUCAGGGCCGAACCGUCUUUAGUAACAUGGUUCAGUGUAAAGUCAUAGUAACCAUAGUAACUGUGUGUCUAACACCAAGGGGAAAACCCGAGGAAUCACCCCCGGUGAAUUCCACUUGAUGUAAUCAUCAAGGUGAACGUAAGAGGAUCCACCCUCGAGGUUCACACUUGAGGGGUUGCACGACAGAGCCAUAACGGAAGUGGUUAAGGAGGAAAUCACCCCCGAUGACCACGACCGAAUAGCUACACUACAAGGUUAACAUCAGAAGUGCUGAUGAGGUCGCACCCUCGGCACUCGAUAGUAACCCAGUAGUGUCAAGCAACUAAAGGGAAAGUGAUGUGCGGUGCCGGGGCGUGGUCUUCGAUCCCGUUGAUCGGGUCUUCUGAUAAUCCAUCGGGGCAGUCGGGACAAAGUGGGGGUCUUUGAUGGGUCUCUACUGAGCCUAUACUAAACAGUUUAGGAUAAGCAGGUAGGUAACAACAACAUGUUACAAUAAACAGGCUAUGCAUCAGAAUAGGAGCAAACAAUAACAGUAGCAAAAUCUAAUGCAAGCAUGAGAGAAUGGAAUGGGUGAUGUGACACUCCAAAAAAAAAUUAUUUAAUUUUCAACAAAAACCUUGUUGGUUUUGAAGAAGGUCAUUUAAUCUCUUCCAAAGUUUUCUCUCUCAAAACUUUUUCCCUUGGCAAGGAUUUUAUUUUUUGUAUCUUCUUCAACUCUGGUGUUUGAUUAUUAAAAACCUUUCUUCUGAUUGUUCCCUUCUCAAAUAUAUUUUUGGAAUUUAUUUAUUUUCUUUAAAAAGGAACCCUAUGAGUUUUUGGGCUUCUCUUAUUUUGAAACAACCCAUGGUUUUACCAUGUCUCUUGUGGUAAAUCCUCCCAAAACCCCUCCCUCCACUUUGGGUCAAUCCAAACUUUCUGUUCCAACAAGUCCAACCCAUUUUUGGAUUUUAUUUCGUUUAUUCUAUUCCCCAAAACAAUUCCGUCAAUUAUUUUAAGCCUAGAUGAUUUACAAAGGAAGUACCAAAUUUCCUUUGAGUUUUGGUCUCAAACCAACUCCUCUGGAUACCCUUUAGCACCCCCAACCUAGAUCCAUCGAGAUCCACUCUUCUUCUUUUCAAAAUUUUCAAGUUUCAACCUCUGCAAGUUUGGACCAGAUUUGUCAAAUUUGGUGAAAUUCAUAUCUCCUCUUCUCCAAAAAUUCUACCAAAAUUCAGGCAGCCCCCAGAUGCAAUGAGAGGCCACCCCACCAAAAAUCAGCUCAAGGAAAAUUCCCCACAUGCCAAAAUCAUUUCGUCGAACACUUGGCCGGCACUAUUACCGUGCACUUUCAGAAAAUUCAGAGUUUCAGAGAAAUUCAAUGUCGUUUUUCGUCAGAGUGUUGUCACCAAUCAACAAUGCGCCCUGGCGCGUUGCGCACGGCCUCUCCUCCCUAGCUAGAGCACCGCACGCCCUCUUGGACGGGUGCAGGUGUCGGUGGCGGCGAGCAUCACCGACGCCGGCAGCUUCUGCAGUGGCAGAGCCACACAUGGCAGCCAGCGAGAGCCCGUGCCAACUCGCUACGCCGUCCGGCGCCGCCCAUCGCUCCCUUGCUCUCCGCGUGGCCUCAUGCACGCCAGCGCACACCGCAGCACCGUCGCCAUGGCCCGGCAAGCACAGGGCGCGCCCUCUGCCGCCGAUGGGCCCGCGCCGCCCCGUUCCGUCGAACCCACCCAAAGCACCUAAUCCAAACUCGUUUAGCGCCUAAACAGAACCAGAGGAACUCCACGUUGACGCCCAACUCCCUAAACUCCCCGACCAAGCUCUGCGCCGCCGUAACCAUUGUCGGAGAUCUCCGUUCACGGCCACCGCCUCGGAUCGCCUAUAAAAAGGGGCCCCUAGCUCGCCCUCGAGCACGCACCACCACUGCACCCCACCAGGACCCCGCCAAGCCACUAGGAGGACCUCGAGGAGGUCUCCUCCCCCCAACUCCAGCCGCCCCGAUCUGCCUCGGCCACCAGCUCGAUCCACUCCGGUGAGGCCAUCCCCGCCGCCCAAACCUCGUCAGUAGUCUCCUCGAGCACCCAGUGAUCUAACCCAGGCUUCAAUUUGACCUCCGCAGCCCUCCUCGACGAGAUCCAACUCCACCCGAGCCGCCGUCCGCCGGAGCAAGGACCACCGUUGACGUGGUGCUCGCCGACGACCACCACCACCACCCACCGACGCGGAAGGACACGCUGAGCACGUAGGUACUCUCCGAUCCUCCUAACUCGUCGUGGAUCACCNNNNNNNNNNNNNNNNNNNNNNNNNNNNNNNNNNNNNNNNNNNNNNNNNNNNNNNNNNNNNNNNNNNNNNNNNNNNNNNNNNNNNNNNNNNNNNNNNNNNNNNNNNNNNNNNNNNNNNNNNNNNNNNNNNNNNNNNNNNNNNNNNNNNNNNNNNNNNNNNNNNNNNNNNNNNNNNNNNNNNNNNNNNNNNNNNNNNNNNNNNNNNNNNNNNNNNNNNNNNNNNNNNNNNNNNNNNNNNNNNNNNNNNNNNNNNNNNNNNNNNNNNNNNNNNNNNNNNNNNNNNNNNNNNNNNNNNNNNNNNNNNNNNNNNNNNNNNNNNNNNNNNNNNNNNNNNNUAAACGAAACGUUUUCUGAAAGCGUCUUCUGCCAAAGUACGUCUCCCCUCUGGGCUGGCGUAUUCUCAAACAAAACGUCUUCUGUUUUAUAAAAUGAACCCUGAGAAGUUUCUGUUUCAUUACAGAAAGGUCCCUGGAUUAAAACCCUUAUAACUUUUAAACAGAAAAUGAUUUUUGAUUGAUUCUUUUUCUGUCCUCUUUAAAUUUUUGUCUAGUUUUUUCUCAUAUUUAUUUGAAAAAUAUUUGUAAUUUCUUUUGUGCACCUCAUGGUAUUUACGUUAGCGCGUAUGUUUCUUUAUACCAUAGAUACCGAAGGAGGUGACGGAACCGCGAACUUCACCGAGUUAGGCUCCGACUACUCUGAACUAGGCAAGCAGGUUUGAACUUUUGAUAUGAUGAGUGUCUUUGGCAUGUUUGCAUUAAGUAGUUUCAUGGCAUGUUUAUGAGCAUCUCGAUGAAUGUCAUAUUACAUGCAAAGUUGAGGCAAGUGAGUUUCGAAAAUCCAUAAGUUGUUGGAUAUGAGUUUGCAUGGCCAUGUGAUGCCAUGAGAAUGGGUAAGAUGGCAGUGUUGUAGCAUGCCAGUCUUAUGCCAAACUAUUUGACUCCAAUGUCAACAUGAAUCAGUCCAGUUUCCAUCCGUUUUCCUUUCUGUACUACCACAUGUUUUCCGCAAGGGAUAUGGCUUAGUAAGUUGCAAACCGCUUUCCUGGUACACACCAAAUCGAGAGGCCGUGAUGAGGGUUCCAUGGCCCUGGAUUAAAGCCAGUCAUCCGGUCAGGGGGCAUGGGUCUUUCCGGUUGGGACCGAGAGGGGGGCACCCCUUAGAGCGUGUGUAUAUAAAUUUGAUCCCAUGCUAUUCGAAAUUGUGAUCUCCCUGUCUCAAAGUUUUUCUUGAAAGCUGUCUAGGGUGAUUCCUGGCAUCGUGAGGUGGGAUGGGUGUGUACUGGUUAGAUGUGUUUCUGCCGAAAUACCGUAAACGGAACUAGUCCUUCGUGACUACGGAAAUCUGUUGGCUGUGGGUAAUUUAGUACAAACUCUACAGAGUCAAAAAUCCUUUGAAUCAUCUUAUCCAUGUCCAAGUAAUGUGUUCAACUUAUCUUGUCAAGUGUCUGUCUCAGUGACAAAAAAAACUCCGGUGAACCGCAUGAGUGUUAAGUCCGGUUAAAUGUUUAUUCCUGUGGAUGGACUAACCCGUUUAUUAUUGUGUGUUGAAUAUUUCUUAUGAGUAUUAUAUCUUUGUGAAUUUAUCAUAUAUGAAUAAGGAAAUUUAAGCCCUUUCUGUGAUGUCGCUCAGACGUCCGACUGUGGCACGCUUGUUAUUUACUCUCAAUACAAGCCCUUUCUGUGAUGUCGCUCAGACGUCCGACUGUGGCAUGCUUGUUAUUUACUUUCGAUAUAAGCCCGUUUUGUGAUGUCGCUCAGACAUCCGACUUUGGCACGCUUAUUAUUUACUUUCGAUAUAAGCCCUUUCUGCGAUGUCGAUCAGACGUCUGACUGUGGCACGCUUGUUAUUUACUUGCGAUAUAAGCCCUUUCUGCAAUGUCAUUCCAACGUCCGAAUGUGGCACGCAUGUCAGUUACUUUUCAAUAUAAGCCCUUUACGUGGUGUCGCUUAGACGCCCGACUGUGGCAUGAUUAUUUAUUUGUUCACCCUUCGAGGCGUCGCUCCAGACACCCGAUCGAUUUUUAGUUAUUUUUUUGUUGGGAUUUUGGGAAGACUACCACCCGACUCCCUUUUUAUUUAGCAUGUUGUGCUAUUAUUUACUAAAUCGAAUGUGCAUUACUAAUUACUCAUGACGCAUUCAUGCAUGAAUUUGUUAUAUCUUUUGUCCGAACUACUUGCGAGUACUUUCAAAGUACUCACCUGGCUUGUUGAUUUGGCCAGAUGUUGACGAAGGCGAUCUCAUGGAUGAAGAGUUCGAUAGCGAGUCCGACGCCUAGGGGAGUCCUAGUCAGUCUCGAGUGAUCCUGGAUUUGGUUACUGUAUUAUAUCCGCUUCCGCUACCCGAAUAAAUUCAUCGAGCCUCACCUCGACGCUCGAUGAGCUGCCAGUUUAGGAGUCGUGUUAUCCACUCCACUGUGAUAUUCCACCACCACUUUUAUCUCGAGUCAGUAGUAUGCCACCACACCAUUGUGUCAUAUCCGCCAUUAUAUAUAAUUAUUGGCGUGCUUGUAAUAAUUUGUUGAGCAGCCUUAGCUCGACCCUGUAAUAUAUUAUAUGCUACUGGCUUACUGUAUCAAGAAUUUUGUCUACUGGUAAGGAGGAUUUUUCCUCAUACUGGACUCAAAAGAUAGGCUUCUCAAUAAACAUUUUAUUGGAAAACCGGUCGUGACAAGCUUGGUACCAGAGCCAGGCUGACUGUAGGAAGCCACUAGGUGCGAUCGCUAAUCGGUUAUUAGCAUAAUAGAGCUAAUUCAUAUUUUUGCAAAUGUAGUCAUUUUCUGACAGUCGGCAUAAAUUUAUGAUCUGACCAUUCAGAAUUUUUGCCUACUUUUGUAGAUGGCUGACAACAGCUGCGAGUCACAGAUGUUCGCCAACGUGCCUGAUGGGUUCGUCAAGCUCCUCUCCUUCAUCGUUCAGGUCGCGAUGGGGCCAUCAAUGCGCCCAGUCUUCACACUCUAUCAGCACAAGGUCAACGACAGUCUGACCAUGCACCAGGCCGCGGUGCAAUUCAAGGGAGGGCGUGUUGAGUUACACCGCUUCCGGUACUUGGGAAGAGCCAUGCCUAGGGAGAAGCAUGCUAUGCAGAUGGCAGCCCGCGAGGCGAUAGCUCGUCUUAGGGAUGUCCUUCCUUCGAUGAAGACUCGUCGUUACCGCUACCUUCCAUGCCAUGUUCCAUACACCUGUCACUACGCGUUCUCUUGCCCUAGAGGAGAAUGAGACGAGGCUUUUGAGAUGCUUAUUGAGUACCUCCGGGCUCUGGAGGCAGCCUUCGACAACCUGGUGGACGACUUCGUGGCUGCCUGCAUGGACUCAGUCCAUGGCUGUGCCGCCAACAGGAGGGAGCUCCUGCACACCGCACCGCCACUGACUUUCGUCUCGUCCUCAGCAUCUUAUGCACCUACCACUCUCGCCACUGCUCGUCGCCUGCCUACCACCGAAGAGUUCAACCAAGUCAUUGCGCCCACUCCUGUUCGUGUUGCUCCGCCUCUGGCGCCCGCUCCAUCUACUCGGCGCAGCACUACACGUCUGGAGCCUAUUAGCGAGGAGGAGGUCGAGUCCCCAGCCUCACUGCGCCUCACCCUCGGCAGCGCAAAGGAGAUCCUUACCAUCUCCGACUGAGUACACUUAGCCGCCAUGCGAUGUACCGCUUUGUACGAUAUGUUUAUAUGUACAUAAGUUAUGAGGAGUAGCUUGUUUGCGCAUCAUGUAGGAACUGGGAGAAGUGCACUAGCCUAAAUAACAUGUCAGGAAUAUGUACGCAUAUCCUGAGUGAUGUAUUGUAUAAUUACUGCUUGCGUGUAAGAUAUGUAAUGAGCAGUCCUUCUCCGUGCGCAAUCAAUUUGUUUUCUUGAGAAAUCCUGGAGCAUUUAAUUUAUUUCCCAUCUUUGUGAAUUUAUUGAUUUUUGCGACUCUUUUCCCUUUCUUAUGAGUUUUACAAAAUAUAUCCCCAGAGUGAAAAAUGUCUCGUCCCUGGACGCGCUCCAUGCCAACUCAGCCAGAGGAAAAUUAUGGCACACAACCAAGCAACAAUUUCGCAUAGGGGCAGUCAAGUCAACAGGACAGUUAAACAGCACUUUCCCAAAUGUGUCACCUUUAUGAGCAAAGUCAGCAACAACACCAAGAAAUGAUGAACCAAGUCAUCAAUAUGGGAAAUCACCAUGGACAGUAUCAACAGCAAUCCAAGUUAUCUGAGCUACAGAAGACGCGUCCCCAAACAUUUUCUCAUACUGACAAACCUCUUGAGGCCGAAGAUUGGCUCUGAGACAUGGAAAGAAAAUUAAUUAUUGCACAAUGUUCAGACCUCGAGAAAGUACUAUAUGCUCCGCACUAUCUCACAAGAGCAGCUGCAUCAUGGUGGGAAAAUUUCCUACACAUGCACCCUAACGAAAAUGAUAUAACCUCGGAGGAGUUCAAAGAAGGUUUUCACGGGGCGCAUAUUCCUAAAAGUCUUAUGAAGAUCAAGAAGAGAGAGUUUGAUGACCUCAAACAAAGAACCAUGACGGUGUCAGAAUACAACGGUCAGUUUACUCUAUUGUCUCGCUACGCCAACGAAGAGCGUAUGACUGAAAGCAAGAAGAUGGAGAAAUUCCUAGACGGUCUGGCACCCGCACUUAAAUGCCAGCUGGUUGUGCACACUUUUCCAGAUUUCAAAACGCUAGUGGAUAAGGCCAUUACCUUGGAAAAUGAGAGACGCAGCUUGGAGGAUUUCCGCAAACGAAAAAGGGACCAGACAACUCCUGCUCGCAACCACCGAAGCAAGACGGAUUUUCAGAAAGGUGGGAUACACAAACCCACGACAAAUGUCUCACGCCCAAUCAAGAAUUUCCAUGCAAGGGACAAGGAGUUCACAUAUCGCCCAGGCGUCACUUGCUAUGCUUGCGGAGAGGAAGGGCACUAUGCCAAGCAGUGUCCCAAGCCAAGGAACUCGACCCCAAAGCCGAACAACAGUGGCAAUAAUUCAGCGCCCAAGCGAAACAAUUUCAUCCCCAAUAACAACCACAGGAAGGGUCAUCUGAACCACGUGAUCAAAGAGGAAGCACAGAAUGCCCCGGAUAUCGUACUUGGUACGUUUCCUGUCAACACAAUACCUGCCAUGAUUUUGUUUGAUUCUGGAGCUUCUCACUCAUUCAUUUCGAAGAGUUUUGCUUUGCAAAAUAAUUUUUCGAUGCUUCCCUUGGAAAAAUCCAUGAUCAUCAAGUCCCCUGGGAUUAAGCAAGUUACUCAGAGUUACUGCCAAGGUGUGGUUAUUGAGUUUGAAGGAUUGAAGUUUCAUGCCAACCUUAUUGUUUUGGAAAAUAAAGGACUGGAUGUCAUCCUAGGGAUGGAUUGGUUAACCACCAACAAAGGUUUUAUUGACUGUUUCAACCGGACCGUAAUUCUCACCCACCACCACGAGAAGACAAUAAGAGUUUCAGCCAAAGAGAUAAAAAUAUCCCGGCAACUGAGAUUGAACAAGGUGGACGUUUCUGAAUUAAGCAAGGUACCAGUAGUGUGUGAAUUUCCAGACGUAUUUCCCGAAGAACUACCAGGCAUGCCACCAGACCGAGAGAUAGAAUUCUGCAUUGAGCUAGCACCCGGAACCACCCCCAUAUACAAGAAACCAUACAGAAUGGCACCAUCCGAGUUGGUAGAAUUGAAGAAGCAAAUAAAAGAAUUACUGGACAAAGGAUAUAUUCGAGCCAGCUCCUCACCUUUGGGUUCACCAAUUUUAUUUGCCAAGAAGAAGGAUGGGACACUGAGAUUGUGUAUAGACUAUCUUGCACUUAACAUGAUCACAAUCAAGAACAAAUACCCGAUGCCACGGAUAAAUGAUUUAUUUGAUCAGCUCGCUCAGGCCAAGGUCUUCUCAAAAAUUGAUUUAAGGUUGGGAUACCAUCAAUUAAAAGUACGAACAGAAGAUAUCCCCAAGACAGCCUUCACCUCCACAUACGGACUGUAUGAGUUCACAGUAAUGCCAUUUGGACUAACAAAUGCACCCGCAUAUUUUGUUCACCUCAUGAACAAAAUAUUUAUGAAGUUUAUGGACAAGUUUGUUGUGGUAUUCAUCGACGAUAUUCUAAUAUACUCCAAGACCAGAAGAGCACGCUGAACAUCUCAGAGUUGUACUAGGAGAACUCAGGAAACAUCAAUUGUACGCCAAGUUCAGCAAGUGUGAAUUUUGGCUAAGACAGGUAGGUUUUCUAGGCCAUGUACUGACCCAAGAAGGUAUUGCCGUAGACCCGGAAAAAUUCAAGGCCGUACUUGGCUGGAAAUCACCAACCAGUGUAACGGAUGUACGAAGUUUCUUGGGAAUGGCAGGAUACUACCGACGGUUUAUUGAAGGGUUGUCCACCAUAGCAAAACCAAUGACACAGUUACUCAAGAAGGACAAGAAGUUUGAAUGGACGGAAGCUUGCGAGAAAAGUUUCCAAGAACUAAAAAGGAAAUUAACGACAGCACCAAUAUUAAUUGUGCCAGACAUACACAAGAACUUUGAAGUGUAUUGUGACACAUCCCGAAAGGGUCUCGGAUGCGUAUUGAUGCAAGAAGGCAAAGUAGUCGCGUAUGUUUCCAGACAACUUCGCAAGCAUGAAGAAAAUUAUCCCACUCAUGACCUGGAGUUGGCAGCAGUCAUUCAUGCACUCAAGGAAUGGAGACACUUCUUACAUGGAAAUCGUUGUGAAAUAUACACGGACCAUAAAAGCCUCAAGUAUAUUUUCACACAGCCAGAACUCAAUUUACGGCAACGACGCUGGUUGGAAUUGGUAAAAGAUUAUGAUGUUGGUAUCCACUAUCAUCCAGGAAAAGCAAAUGUAGUGGCAGAUGCUCUUAGUCGGAACCCCAGCUCGGACGACAACAGUCUGCAAGGCUUGAGACCUGAAUUCCAACAAGAGUUUGCCAAACUCAACUUGAUGAUGGUCACGGAAGGCACCAUAACAAAUUUGGAAGUACAACCCAACCUUGUGGAGAGGAUUAAAGAAGCUCAGCAUGGACACCCCAGCAUUGAAGGCAUAAAAAGAAAGGUGAGUAUGGGCAAGGCCUCGGAAUUCGUCAUAGACGAUGAGGGAAUAUUAUGGUACGGAGACAGACUCUGCGUGCCAAAUAUAGAGGACCUCAAACAGCAAAUUCUAGCUGAAGCCCACACUGCUCCAUAUUCGAUCCACCCUGGAGGAACCAAAAUGUAUAAGGACAUUCAGGAAAGAUUUUGGUGGCACGGUAUGAAGAGGGAUAUAGCCACCUUCAUUGCAUGUUGCGAUUCUUGUCAACGCAUAAAAGCUGAGCAUCAAAGACCAGCCGGACUACUGCAACCGAACAAGAUACCUGAGUGGAAAUGGGACGAAAUAGGGAUGGAUUUCAUUGUCGGACUACCUCGGUCACAACGCGGGAAUGAUGCCAUAUGGGUCAUCACCGAUAGAUUAACCAAGGUGGCACAUUUCAUUCUAGUGAAGACAGCCCACACCACUUAGAAGCUUGCCAAGAUUUAUCUCUCCCGCAUAGUCUGUCUGCAUGGAGUCCCAAAGACUAUAAUAUCUGACAGAGGCACUCAGUUUGUCUCUAGAUUUUGGGAGCAGCUGCAACAAUCGCUAGGAACUCAACUGGCCUUCAGUACAGCAUACCAUCCCCAGACUGAUGGACAAACUGAACGCGUAAACCAAAUUCUAGAAGACAUGCUGAGAGCAUGUGUCCUCACCUAUGGAACCAGUUGGGAAGAAAGCUUGCCAUACGCAGAGUUCGCAUACAACAACAGUUACCAGGCCAGCCUGCAAAUGGCACCAUUUGAAGCUCUGUACGGGCAGAGAUGUUGUACCCCGCUAAAUUGGUCAGAGACCGGAGACAGCCGUAUCUUCGGCCCAGACAUGCUCAAAGAAGCCGAGGAAAAGGUCAAGCUAAUCAGGGACCGACUCAAGACAGCUCAAAGCCGACAGAAGAGUUAUUACGAUAAAAAACAUCAUGGAGUCAGUUUUGAAACCGGAGAGUAUGUGUACCUGCGAGUAUCUCCUAUGAGGGGCUUGCAACGAUUCAAAAUUAAGGGAAAGCUAGCACCAAGAUUCAUCGGACCAUUCUGUAUAGUGGCACGAAGAGGCAUGGUAGCCUACCAGCUAGAAUUACCCGAAGAAUUAUCCGAUGUCCACGACGUGUUCCACGUCUCGCAGUUGAGGAAGUGCGUAAGCAACCCAGAAAAACAAGUAUCCCAUGAAAACAUUGACGUGCAGCCAGACCUCACCUAUCGGGAACAUCCAAUAAAAAUAUUAGAGGAGUCUGAAAGGAGGACACGACAGAAAACCAUCAAGUUUUUCAGAGUUUAGUGGAGCAAUCACACCGAGAGUGAAGCAACUUGGGAAAGAGAGGAUUUUCUUCGGACAGAGCACCCACACUUAUUUGAGGAUCAGCUGAAAUCUCAGGGACGAGAUUUUUCCUAAGGGGGUAGGUGUUGUGACACUCCAAAAAAAAUUAUUUAAUUUUCAACAAAAACCUUGUUGGUUUUGAAGAAGGUCAUUUAAUCUCUUCCAAAGUUUUCUCUCUCAAAACUUUUUCCCUUGGCAAGGAUUUUAUUUUUUGUAUCUUCUUCAACUCUGGUGUUUGAUUAUUAAAAACCUUUCUUCUGAUUGUUCCCUUCUCAAAUAUAUUUUUGGAAUUUAUUUAUUUUCUUUAAAAAGGAACACUAUGAGUUUUGGGGCUUCUCUUAUUUUGAAACCACCCAUGGUUUUACCAUGUCUCUUGUGGUAAAUCCUCCCAAAACCCCUCCCUCCACUUUGGGGCAAUCCAAACUUUCUGUUCCAACAAGUCCAACCCAUUUUUGGAUUUUAUUUCGUUUAUUCUAUUCCCCAAAACAAUUCUGUCAAUUAUUUUAAGCCUAGAUGAUUUACAAAGGAAGUACCAAAUUUCCUUUGAGUUUUGGUCUCAAAGCAACUCCUCUGGAUAGCCUUUAGCACCCCCAACCUAGAUCCAUCAAGAUCCACUCUUCUUCUUUUCAAAAUUUUCAAGUUUCAACCUCUGCAAGUUUGGACCAGAUUUGUCAAAUUUGGUGAAAUUCAUAUCUCCUCUUCUCCAAAAAUUCUACCAAAAUUCAGGAAGCCCCCAGAUGUAAUGAGAGGCCACCCCACCAAAAAUCAGCUCAAGGAAAAUUCCCCACAUGCCAAAAUCAUUUCGUCGAACACUUGGCCGGCACUGUUACUUUGCACUUUCAGAAAAUUCAGAGUUUCAGAGAAAUUCAGUGUCGUUUUUCGUCAGAGUGUUGUCACCAAUCAACAGUGCGCCCUGGCGCGUUGCGCACGGCCUCUCCUCCCUGGCCAGAGCACCGCACGCCCUCUUGGACGGGUGCAGGUGUCGGUGGCGGCGAGCAUCGCCGACGCCGGCAGCUUCUACAGUGGCAGAGCCACCCAUGGCGACCAGCGAGAGCCCGUGCCAGCUCGCUACGCCGUCCGGCGCCGCCCAUCGCUCCCUUGCCCUCCGCGUGGCCUCAUGCACGCCAGCGCACCCCGCAGCACCGUCGUCGUGGCCCGGCAAGUACAGGGCACACCCUUUGCCGCCGACGGGCCCGCGCCGCCCCGUUCCGUUGAACCCACCCAAAGCACCUAACCUGAACUCGUUUAGCGCCUAAACGGAACCAGCAGAACUCCACGUUGACGCCCAACUCCCUAAACUCCCCAACCAAGCUCUCCGCCGCCGUAACCAUCGCCGGAGAUCUCCGUUCACGGCCACCGCCUCGGAUCGCCUAUAAAAAGGGGCCCCGAGCUCGCCCUCGAGCGCGCACCACCACUGCACCCCACCAGGACCCCGCCAAGCCACUAGGAGGACCUCGAGGAGGUCUCCUCCCCCAACUCCGGCCGCCCCGAUCCGCCUCGGCCACCAGCUCGAUCCACUCCGGUGAGGCCAUCCCCGCCGCCCAAACCUCGUCAGUAGUCUCCUCGAGCACCCAGUGAUCUAACCCAGGCUUCAAUUUGACCUCUGCAGCCCUCCCCGACGAGAUCCAACUCCACCCGAGCCGCCGUCCAUCGGAGCAAGGAACGCCGUCGACGUGGUGCUCGCCGACGACCACCACCACCACCCACUGACGCGGAAGGACACACUGAGCACGUAGGUACUCUCCGAUCCUCCUAAUUUGUCGUGGGUCGCCGCCGGCGACCACCGCAGCUCUCGGGCACCGACGAGCUCUNNNNNNNNNNNNNNNNNNNNNNNNNNNNNNNNNNNNNNNNNNNNNNNNNNNNNNNNNNNNNNNNNNNNNNNNNNNNNNNNNNNNNNNNNNNNNNNNNNNNNNNNNNNNNNNNNNNNNNNNNNNNNNNNNNNNNNNNNNNNNNNNNNNNNNNNNNNNNNNNNNNNNNNNNNNNNNNNNNNNNNNNNNNNNNNNNNNNNNNNNNNNNNNNNNNNNNNNNNNNNNNNNNNNNNNNNNNNNNGUUUUCUAAAAGCGUCUUCUGCCGAAGUACGUCUCCCCUCUGGGCCGGCGUAUUCUCAAACGAAACGUCUUUUGUUUUAUAAAAUCAACCCUGAGAAGUUUCUGUUUCAUUAUAGAAAGGUCCCUAGAUUAAAACCCUUAUAACUUUUAAACAGAAAAUGAUUUUUGAUUGAUUCUUUUUCUGUCCUCUUUAAAUUUUUGUCUAGUUUUUUAUCAUAUUUAUUUGAAAAAUAUUUGGAAUUUCUUUUGUGCACCUCACGGUAUUUACGUUAGCGCGUAUGUUUCUUUAUACCAUAGAUACCGAAGGAGGUGACGGAACCGCGAACUUCACCGAGUUAGGCUCCGACUAGUCUGAACCAGGCAAGAAUGUUUGAACUUUUGAUAUGAUGAGUGUCUUUGGCAUGUUUGCAUUAAGUAGUUUCAUGGCAUGUUUAUGAGCAUCUCGAUGAAUGUCAUAUUACAUGCAAAGUUGAGGCAAGUGAGUUUCGAAAAUCCAUAAGUUGUUGGAUAUGAGUUUGCAUGGCCAUGUGAUGCCAUGAGAAUGGGUAAGAUGGCAGUGUUGUAGCAUGCCAGUCUUAUGCCAAACUAUUUGACUCCAGUGUCAACAUGAAUCAGUCCAGUUUCCAUCUGUUUUCCCUUCCUGUACUACCACAUGUUUUCCGCAAGGGAUAUGGCUUAGUAAGUUGCAAACCGCUUUCCUGGUACACACCAAAUCGAGAGGCCGUGAUGAGGGUUCCAUGGCCCUGGAUUAAAGCCAGUCAUCCGGUCAGGGGGCAUGGGUCUUUCCGGUUGGGACCGAGAGGGGGGCACCCCUUAGAGCGUGUGUAUAUAAAUUUGAUCCCAUGCUAUUCGAAAUUGUGAUCUCCCUAUCUCAAAGUUUUUCUUGAAAGCUGUCUAGGGUGAUUCCUGGCAUCGUGAGGUGGGAUGGGUGUGUACUGGUUAGAUGUGUUUCUGCCGAAAUACCGUAAACGGAACUAGUCCUUCGUGACUACGGAAAUCUGUUGACUGUGGGUAAUUUAGUACAAACUCUGCAGAGUCAAAAAUCCUUUGAAUCAUCUUAUCCAUGUCCAAGUAAUGUGUUCAACUUAUCUUGUCAAGUGUCUGUCUCAGUGACAAAAAAAACUCCGGUGAACCGCAUGAGUGUUAAGUCCGGUUAAAUGUUUAUUCCUGUGGAUGGACUAACCCGUUUAUUAUUGUGUGUUGAAUAUUUCUUAUGAGUAUUAUAUCUUUGUGAAUUUAUCAUAUAUGAAUAAGGAAAUUUAAGCCCUUUCUGUGAUGUCGCUCAGACGUCCGACUGUGGCACGCUUGUUAUUUACUCUCAAUACAAGCCCUUUCUGUGAUGUCGCUCAGACGUCCGACUGUGGCAUGCUUGUUAUUUACUUUCGAUAUAAGCCCGUUCUGUGAUGUCGCUCAGACAUCCGACUGUGGCACGCUUAUUAUUUACUUUCGAUAUAAGCCCUUUCUGCGAUGUCGAUCAGACGUCUGACUGUGGCACGCUUGUUAUUUACUUGCGAUAUAAGCCCUUUCUGCAAUGUCAUUCCAACGUCCGACUGUGGCACGCAUGUCAGUUACUUUUCAAUAUAAGCCCUUUACGUGGUGUCGCUUAGACGCCCGACUGCGGCAUGAUUAUUUAUUUGUUCACCCUUCGAAGCGUCGCUCCAGACACCCGAUCGGUUUUUAGUUAUUUUUUUUGUUGGGAUUUUGGGAAGACUACCACCCGACUCCCUUUUUAUUUAGCAUGUUGUGCCAUUAUUUACUAAAUCAAAUGUGCAUUACUAAUUACUCAUGACGCAUUCAUGCAUGCAUUUGUUAUAUCUUUUGUCCGAACUACUUGCGAGUACUUUCAAAGUACUCACCUGGCUUGUUGAUUUGGCCAGAUGUUGACGAAGGCGAUCUCAUGGAUGAAGAGUUCGAUAGCGAGUCCGACGCCUAGGGGAGUCCUAGUCAGUCUCGAGUGAUCCUGGAUUUGGUUACUGUAUUAUAUCCGCUUCCGCUACCCGAAUAAAUUCAUCGAGCCUCACCUCGACGCUCGAUGAGCUGCCAGUUUAGGAGUCGUGUUAUCCACUCCACUGUGAUAUUCCACCACCACUUUUAUCUCGAGUCAGUAGUAUGCCACCACACCAUUGUGUCAUAUCCGCCAUUAUAUAUAAUUAUUGGCGUGCUUGUAAUAAUUUGUUGAGAAGCCUUAGCUCGACCCUGUAAUAUAUUAUAUGCUACUGGCUUACUGUAUCAAGAAUUUUGUCUACUGGUAAGGAGGAUUUUUCCUCAUACUGGACUCAAAAGAUAGGCUUCUCAAUAAACAUUUUAUUGGAAAACCGGUCGUGACAAGCUUGGUACCAGAGCCAGGCUGACUGUAGGAAGCCACUAGGUGCGAUCGCUAAUCGGUUAUUAGCAUAAUAGAGCUAAUUCAUAUUUUUGCAAAUGUAGUCAUUUUCUGACAGUCGGCAUAAAUUUAUGAUCUGACCAUUCAGAAUUUUUGCCUACUUUUGUAGAUGGCUGACAACAGCUGCGAGUCACAGAUGUUCGCCAACGUGCCUGAUGGGUUCGUCAAGCUCCUCUCCUUCAUCGUUCAGGUCGCGAUGGGGCCAUCAAUGCGCCCAGUCUUCACACUCUAUCAGCACAAGGUCAACGACAGUCUGACCAUGCACCAGGCCGCGGUGCAAUUCAAGGGAGGGCGUGUUGAGUUACACCGCUUUCGGUACUUGGGAAGAGCCAUGCCUAGGGAGAAGCAUGCUAUGCAGAUGGCAGCCCGCGAGGCGAUAGCUCGUCUUAGGGAUGUCCUUCCUUCGAUGAAGACUCGUCGUUACCGCUACCUUCCAUGCCAUGUUCCAUACACCUGUCACUACGCGUUCUCUUGCCCUAGAGGAGAAUGAGACGAGGCUUUUGAGAUGCUUAUUGAGUACCUCCGGGCUCUGGAGGCAGCCUUCGACAACCUGGUGGACGACUUCGUGGCUGCCCGCAUGGACUCAGUCCAUGGCUGUGCCGCCAACAGGAGGGAGCUCCUGCACACCGCACCGCCACUGACUUUCGUCUCGUCCUCAGCAUCUUAUGCACCUACCACUCUCGCCACUGCUCGUCGCCUGCCUACCACCGAAGAGUUCAACCAAGUCAUUGCGCCCACUCCUGUUCGUGUUGCUCCGCCUCUGGCGCCCGCUCCAUCUACUCGGCGCAGCACUACACGUCUGGAGCCUAUUAGCGAGGAGGAGGUCGAGUCCCCAGCCUCACUGCGCCUCACCCUCGGCAGCGCAAAGGAGAUCCUUACCAUCUCCGACUGAGUACACUUAGCCGCCAUGCGAUGUACCGCUUUGUACGAUAUGUUUAUAUGUACAUAAGUUAUGAGGAGUAGCUUGUUUGCGCAUCAUGUAGGAACUGGGAGAAGUGCACUAGCCUAAAUAACAUGUCAGGAAUAUGUACGCAUAUCCUGAGUGAUGUAUUGUAUAAUUACUGCUUGCGUGUAAGAUAUGUAAUGAGCAGUCCUUCUCCGUGCGCAAUCAAUUUGUUUUCUUGAGAAAUCCUGGAGCAUUUAAUUUAUUUCCCAUCUUUGUGAAUUUAUUGAUUUUUGCGACUCUUUUCCCUUUCUUAUGAGUUUUACAAAAUAUAUCCCCAGAGUGAAAAAUGUCUCGUCCCUGGACGCGCUCCAUGCCAACUCAGCCAGAGGAAAAUUAUGGCACACAACCAAGCAACAAUUUCGCAUAGGGGCAGUCAAGUCAACAGGACAGUGAAACAGCACUUUCCCAAAUGUGCCGCCUUUAUGAGCAAAGUCAGCAACAACACCAAGAAAUGAUGAACCAAGUCAUCAAUAUGGGAAAUCACCAUGGACAGUAUCAACAGCAAUCCAAGUUAUCUGAGCUACAGAAGACGCGUCCCCAAACAUUUUCUCAUACUGACAAACCUCUUGAGGCCGAAGAUUGGCUCUGAGACAUGGAAAUAAAAUUAAUUAUUGCACAAUGUUCAGACCUCGAGAAAGUACUAUAUGCUCCGCACUAUCUCACAAGAGUAGCUGCAUCAUGGUGGGAAAAUUUCCUACACAUGCACCCUAACGAAAAUGAUAUAACCUCGGAGGAGUUCAAAGAAGGUUUUCACGGGGCGCAUAUUCCUAAAAGUCUUAUGAAGAUCAAGAAGAGAGAGUUUGAUGACCUCAAACAAAGAACCAUGACGGUGUCAGAAUACAACGGUCAGUUUACUCUAUUGUCUCGCUACGCCAACGAAGAGCGUAUGACUGAAAGCAAGAAGAUGGAGAAAUUCCUAGACGGUCUGGCACCCGCACUUAAAUGCCAGCUGGUUGUGCACACUUUUCCAGAUUUCAAAACGCUAGUGGAUAAGGCCAUUACCUUGGAAAAUGAGAGACGCAGCUUGGAGGAUUUCCGCAAACGAAAAAGGGACCAGACAACUCCUGCUCGCAACCACCGAAGCAAGACGGAUUUUCAGAAAGGUGGGAUACACAAACCCACGACAAAUGUCUCACGCCCAAUCAAGAAUUUCCAUGCAAGGGACAAGGAGUUCACAUAUCGCCCAGGCGUCACUUGCUAUGCUUGCGGAGAGGAAGGGCACUAUGCCAAGCAGUGUCCCAAGCCAAGGAACUCGACCCCAAAGCCGAACAACAGUGGCAAUAAUUCAGCGCCCAAGCGAAACAAUUUCAUCCCCAAUAACAACCACAGGAAGGGUCAUCUGAACCACGUGACCAAAGAGGAAGCACAGAAUGCCCCGGAUAUCGUACUUGGUAUGUUUCCUGUCAACACAAUACCUGCCAUGAUUUUGUUUGAUUCUGGAGCUUCUCACUCAUUCAUUUCGAAGAGUUUUGCUUUGCAAAAUAAUUUUUCGAUGCUUCCCUUGGAAAAAUCCAUGAUCAUCAAGUCCCCUGGGAUUAAGCAAGUUACUCAGAGUUACUGCCAAGGUGUGGUUAUUGAGUUUGAAGGAUUGAAAUUUCAUGCCAACCUUAUUGUUUUGGAAAAUAAAGGACUGGAUGUCAUCCUAGGGAUGGAUUGGUUAACCACCAACAAAGGUUUUAUUGACUGUUUCAACCGGACCGUAAUUCUCAACCACCACCACGAGAAGACAAUAAGAGUUUCAGCCAAAGAGAUAAAAAUAUCCCGACAACUGAGAUUGAACAAGGUGGACGUUUCUGAAUUAAGCAAGGUACCAGUAGUGUGUGAAUUUCCAGACGUAUUUCCCGAAGAACUACCAGGCAUGCCACCAGACCGAGAGAUAGAAUUCAGCAUUGAGCUAGCACCCGGAACCACCCCCAUAUACAAGAAACCAUACAGAAUGGCACCAUCCGAGUUGGUAGAAUUGAAGAAGCAAAUAAAAGAAUUACUGGACAAAGGAUAUAUUCGAGCCAGCUCCUCACCUUUGGGUUCACCAAUUUUAUUUGCCAAGAAGAAGGAUGGGACACUGAGAUUGUGUAUAGACUAUCUUGCACUUAACAUGAUCACAAUCAAGAACAAAUACCCAAUGCCACGGAUAAAUGAUUUAUUUGAUCAGCUCGCUCAGGCCAAGGUCUUCUCAAAAAUUGAUUUAAGGUUGGGAUACCAUCAAUUAAAAGUACGAACAGAAGAUAUCCCCAAGACAGCCUUCACCUCCACAUACGGACUGUAUGAGUUCACAGUAAUGCCAUUUGGACUAACAAACGCCCCCGCAUAUUUUGUUCACCUCAUGAACAAAAUAUUUAUGAAGUUUAUGGACAAGUUUGUUGUGGUAUUCAUCGACGAUAUUCUAAUAUACUCCAAGACCAGAAGAGCACGCUGAACAUCUCAGAGUUGUACUAGGAGAACUCAGGAAACAUCAAUUGUACGCCAAGUUCAGCAAGUGUGAAUUUUGGCUAAGACAGGUAGGUUUUCUAGGCCACGUACUGACCCAAGAAGGUAUUGCCGUAGACCCGGAAAAAUUCAAGGCCGUACUUGGCUCGAAAUCACCAACCAGUGUAACGGAUGUACGAAGUUUCUUGGGAAUGGCAGGAUACUACCGACGGUUUAUUGAAGGGUUGUCCACCAUAGCAAAACCAAUGACACAGUUACUCAAGAAGGACAAGAAGUUUGAAUGGACGGAAGCUUGCGAGAAAAGUUUCCAAGAACUAAAAAGGAAAUUAACGACAGCACCAAUAUUAAUUGUGCCAGACAUACACAAGAACUUUGAAGUGUAUUGUGACGCAUCCCGAAAGGGUCUCGGAUGCGUAUUGAUGCAAGAAGGCAAAGUUUUCGCGUAUGUUUCCAGACAACUUCGCAAGCAUGAAGAAAAUUAUCCCACUCAUGACCUGGAGUUGGCAACAGUCAUUCAUGCACUCAAGGAAUGGAGACACUUCUUACUUGGAAAUCGUUGUGAAAUAUACACGGACCAUAAAAGCCUCAAGUAUAUUUUCACACAGCCAGAACUCAAUUUACGGCAACGACGCUGGUUGGAAUUGGUAAAAGAUUAUGAUGUUGGUAUCCACUAUCAUCCAGGAAAAGCAAAUGUAGUGGCAGAUGCUCUUAGUCGGAACCCCAGCUCGGACGACAACAGUCUGCAAGGCUUGAGACCUGAAUUCCAACAAGAGUUUGCCAAACUCAACUUGAUGAUGGUCACGGAAGGCACCAUAACAAAUUUGGAAGUACAACCCAACCUUGUGGAGAGGAUUAAAGAAGCUCAGCAUGGACACCCCAGCAUUGAAGGCAUAAAAAGAAAGGUGAGUAUGGGCAAGGCCUCGGAAUUCGUCAUAGACGAUGAGGGAAUAUUAUGGUACAGAGACAGACUCUGCGUGCCAAAUAUAGAGGACCUCAAACAGCAAAUUCUAGCUGAAGCCCACACCGCUCCAUAUUCGAUCCACCCUGGAGGAACCAAAAUGUAUAAGGACAUUCAGGAAAGAUUUUGGUGGCACGGUAUGAAGAGGGAUAUAGCCACCUUCAUUGCAUGUUGCGAUUCUUGUCAACGCAUAAAAGCUGAGCAUCAAAGACCAGCCGGACUACUGCAACCGAACAAGAUACCUGAGUGGAAAUGGGACGAAAUAGGGAUGGAUUUCAUUGUCGGACUACCUCGGUCACAACGCGGGAAUGAUGCCAUAUGGGUCAUCACCGAUAGAUUAACCAAGGUGGCACAUUUCAUUCCAGUGAAGACAGCCCACACCACUUAGAAGCUUGCCAAGAUUUAUCUCUCCCGCAUAGUCUAUCUGCAUGGAGUCCCAAAGACUAUAAUAUCUGACAGAGGCACUCAGUUUGUCUCUAGAUUUUGGGAGCAGCUGCAACAAUCGCUAGGAACUCAACUGGCCUUCAGUACAGCAUACCAUCCCCAGACUGAUGGACAAACUGAACGCGUAAACCAAAUUCUAGAAGACAUGCUGAGAGCAUGUGUCCUCACCUAUGGAACCAGUUGGGAAGAAAGCUUGCCAUACGCAGAGUUCGCAUACAACAACAGUUACCAGGCCAGCCUGCAAAUGGCACCAUUUGAAGCUCUGUACGGGCAGAGAUGUUGUACCCCGCUAAAUUGGUCAGAGACCAGAGACAGCCGUAUCUUCGGUCCAGACAUGCUCAAAGAAGCCGAGGAAAAGGUCAAGCUAAUCAGGGACCGACUCAAGACAGCUCAAAGCCGACAGAAGAGUUAUUACGAUAAAAAACAUCAUGGAGUCAGUUUUGAAACUGGAGAGUAUGUGUACCUGCGAGUAUCUCCUAUGAGGGGCCUGCAACGAUUCAAAAUUAAGGGAAAGCUAGCACCAAGAUUCAUCGGACCAUUCUGUAUAGUGGCACGAAGAGGCAUGGUAGCCUACCAGCUAGAAUUACCCGAAGAAUUAUCCGAUGUCCACGACGUGUUCCACGUCUCGUAGUUGAGGAAGUGCGUAAGCAACCCAGAAAAACAAGUAUCCCAUGAAAACAUUGACGUGCAGCCAGACCUCACCUAUCGGGAACAUCCAAUAAAAAUAUUAGAGGAGUCUGAAAGGAGGACACGACAGAAAACCAUCAAGUUUUUCAGAGUUCAGUGGAGCAAUCACACCGAGAGUGAAGCAACUUGGGAAAGAGAGGAUUUUCUUCGGACAGAGCACCCACACUUAUUUGAGGAUCAGCUGAAAUCUCAGGGACGAGAUUUUUCCUAAGGGGGUAGGUGUUGUGACACUCCAAAAAAAAUUAUUUAAUUUUCAACAAAAACCUUGUUGGUUUUGAAGAAGGUCAUUUAAUCUCUUCCAAAGUUUUCUCUCUCAAAACUUUUUCCCUUGGCAAGGAUUUUAUUUUUUGUAUCUUCUUCAACUCUGGUGUUUGAUUAUUAAAAACCUUUCUUCUGAUUGUUCCCUUCUCAAAUAUAUUUUUGGAAUUUAUUUAUUUUCUUUAAAAAGGAACACUAUGAGUUUUGGGGCUUCUCUUAUUUUGAAACCACCCAUGGUUUUACCAUGUCUCUUGUGGUAAAUCCUCCCAAAACCCCUCCCUCCACUUUGGGGCAAUCCAAACUUUCUGUUCCAACAAGUCCAACCCAUUUUUGGAUUUUAUUUCGUUUAUUCUAUUCCCCAAAACAAUUCUGUCAAUUAUUUUAAGCCUAGAUGAUUUACAAAGGAAGUACCAAAUUUCCUUUGAGUUUUGGUCUCAAACCAACUCCUCUGGAUAGCCUUUAGCACCCCCAACCUAGAUCCAUCAAGAUCCACUCUUCUUCUUUUCAAAAUUUUCAAGUUUCAACCUCUGCAAGUUUGGACCAGAUUUGUCAAAUUUGGUGAAAUUCAUAUCUCAUCUUCUCCAAAAAUUCUACCAAAAUUCAGGAAGCCCCCAGAUGUAAUGAGAGGCCACCCCACCAAAAAUCAGCUCAAGGAAAAUUCCCCACAUGCCAAAAUCAUUUCGUCGAACACUUGGCCGGCACUGUUACUUUGCACUUUCAGAAAAUUCAGAGUUUCAGAGAAAUUUAGUGUCGUUUUUCGUCAGAGUGUUGUCACCAAUCAACAGUGCGCCCUGGCGUGUUGCGCACGGCCUCUCCUCCCUGGCCAGAGCACCGCACGCCCUCUUGGACGGGUGCAGGUGUCGGUGGCGGCGAGCAUCGCCGAUGCCGGCAGCUUCUACAGUGGCAGAGCCACCCAUGGCGACCAGCGAGAGCCCGUGCCAGCUCGCUACGCCGUCCGGCGCCGCCCAUCGCUCCCUUGCCCUCCGCGUGGCCUCAUGCACGCCAGCGCACCCCGCAGCACCGUCGUCGUGGCCCGGCAAGUACAGGGCACACCCUUUGCCGCCGACGGGCCCGCGCCGCCCCGUUCCGUUGAACCCACCCAAAGCACCUAACCUGAACUCGUUUAGCGCCUAAACGGAACCAGCGGAACUCCACGUUGACGCCCAACUCCCUAAACUCCCCAACCAAGCUCUCCGCCGCCGUAACCAUCGCCGGAGAUCUCCGUUCACGGCCACCGCCUCGGAUCGCCUAUAAAAAGGGGCCCCGAGCUCGCCCUCGAGCACGCACCACCACUGCACCCCACCAGGACCCCGCCAAGCCACUAGGAGGACCUCGAGGAGGUCUCCUCCCCCAACUCCGGCCGCCCCGAUCCGCCUCGGCCACCAGCUCGAUCCACUCCGGUGAGGCCAUCCCCGCCGCCCAAACCUCGUCAGUAGUCUCCUCGAGCACCCAGUGAUCUAACCCAGGCUUCAAUUUGACCUCUGCAGCCCUCCCCGACGAGAUCCAACUCCACCCGAGCCGCCGUCCAUCGGAGCAAGGAACGCCGUCGACGUGGUGCUCGCCGACGACCACCACCACCACCCACUGACGCGGAAGGACACACUGAGCACGUAGGUACUCUCCGAUCCUCCUAAUUUGUCGUGGGUCGCCGCCGGCGACCACCGCAGCUCUCGGGCACCGACGAGCUCUNNNNNNNNNNNNNNNNNNNNNNNNNNNNNNNNNNNNNNNNNNNNNNNNNNNNNNNNNNNNNNNNNNNNNNNNNNNNNNNNNNNNNNNNNNNNNNNNNNNNNNNNNNNNNNNNNNNNNNNNNNNNNNNNNNNNNNNNNNNNNNNNNNNNNNNNNNNNNNNNNNNNNNNNNNNNNNNNNNNNUCUCUUUUCUUUUAAACGAAACGUUUUCUAAAAGCGUCUUCUGCCGAAGUACGUCUCCCCUCUGGGCCGGCGUAUUCUCAAACGAAACGUCUUUUGUUUUAUAAAAUCAACCCUGAGAAGUUUCUGUUUCAUUAUAGAAAGGUCUCUAGAUUAAAACCCUUAUAACUUUUAAACAGAAAAUGAUUUUUGAUUGAUUCUUUUUCUGUCCUCUUUAAAUUUUUUUCUAGUUUUUUAUCAUAUUUAUUUGAAAAAAAUUUGGAAUUUCUUUUGUGCACCUCACAGUAUUUACGUUAGCGCGUAUGUUUCUUUAUACCAUAGAUACCGAAGGAGGUGACGGAACCGCGAACUUCACCGAGUUAGGCUCCGACUAGUCUGAACCAGGCAAGAAUGUUUGAACUUUUGAUAUGAUGAGUGUCUUUGGCAUGUUUGCAUUAAGUAGUUUCAUGGCAUGUUUAUGAGCAUCUCGAUGAAUGUCAUAUUACAUGCAAAGUUGAGGCAAGUGAGUUUCGAAAAUCCAUAAGUUGUUGGAUAUGAGUUUGCAUGGCCAUGUGAUGCCAUGAGAAUGGGUGAGAUGGCAGUGUUGUAGCAUGCCAGUCUUAUGCCAAACUAUUUGACUCCAGUGUCAACAUGAAUCAGUCCAGUUUCCAUCUGUUUUCCCUUCCUGUACUACCACAUGUUUUCCGCAAGGGAUAUGGCUUAGUAAGUUGCAAACCGCUUUCCUGGUACACACCAAAUCGAGAGGCCGUGAUGAGGGUUCCAUGGCCCUGGAUUAAAGCCAGUCAUCCGGUCAGGGGGCAAGGGUGUUUCCGGUUGGGACCGAGAGGGGGGCACCCCUUAGAGCGCGCGUAUAUAAAUUUGAUCCCAUGCUAUUCGAAAUUGUGAUCUCCCUGUCUCAAAGUUUUUCUUGAACGUUGUCUAGGGUGAUUCCUGGCAUCGUGAGGUGGGAUGGGUGUGUACUGGUUAGAUGUGUUUCUGCCGAAAUACCGUGAACGGAACUAGUCCUUCGUGACUACGGAAAUCUGUUGACUGUGGGUAAUUUAGUACAAACUCUGCAGAGUCAAAAAUCCUUUGAAUCAUCUUAUCCAUGUCCAAGUAAUGUGUUCAACUUAUCUUGUCAAGUGUCUGUCUCAGUGACAAAAAAAACUCCGGUGAACCGCAUGAGUGUUAAGUCCGGUUAAAUGUUUAUUCCUGUGGAUGGACUAACCCGUUUAUUAUUGUGUGUUGAAUAUUUCUUAUGAGUAUUAUAUCUUUGUGAAUUUAUCAUAUAUGAAUAAGGAAAUUUAAGCCCUUUCUGUGAUGUCGCUCAGACGUCCGACUGUGGCACGCUUGUUAUUUACUCUCAAUACAAGCCCUUUCUGUGAUAUCGCUCAGACGUCCGACUGUGGCACGCUUGUUAUUUACUUUCGAUAUAAGCCCGUUCUGUGAUGUCGCUCAGACAUCCGACUGUGGCACGCUUAUUAUUUACUUUCGAUAUAAGCCCUUUCUGCGAUGUCGAUCAGACGUCCGACUGUGGCACGCUUGUUAUUUACUUGCGAUAUAAGCCCUUUCUGCAAUGUCAUUCCAACGUCCGACUGUGGCACGCAUGUCAGUUACUUUUCAAUAUAAGCCCUUUACGUGGUGUCGCUUAGACGCCCGACUGCGGCAUGAUUAUUUAUUUGUUCACCCUUCGAAGCGUCGCUCCAGACACCCGAUCGGUUUUUAGUUAUUUUUUUUGUUGGGAUUUUGGGAAGACUACCACCCGACUCCCUUUUUAUUUAGCAUGUUGUGCCAUUAUUUACUAAAUCAAAUGUGCAUUACUAAUUACUCAUGACACAUUCAUGCAUGCAUUUGUUAUAUCUUUUGUCCGAACUACUUGCGAGUACUUUCAAAGUACUCACCUGGCUUGUUGAUUUGGCCAGAUGUUGACGAAGGCGAUCUAAUGGAUGAAGAGUUCGAUAGCGAGUCCGACGCCUAGGGGAGUCCCAGUCAGUCUCGAGUGAUCCUGGAUUUGGUUACUGUAUUAUAUCCGCUUCCGCUACCCGAAUAAAUUCAUCGAGCCUCACCUCGACGCUCGAUGAGCUGCCAGUUUAGGAGUCGUGUUAUCCACUCCACUGUGAUAUUCCACCACCACUUUUAUCUCGAGUCAGUAGUAUGCCACCACACCAUUGUGUCAUAUCCGCUAUUAUGUAUAAUUCUUCGCGUGCUUGUAAUAAUUUAUUGAGCAGCCUUAGCUCGACCAUGUAGUAUAUUAUAUGCUAUUGGCUUACUGUAUCAAGAAUUUUGUCUACCGGUAAGGAGUAUUUUUCCUCAUACUGGACUCAAAAGAUCGGCUUCUCAAUAAACAUUUUAUUGGAAAACUGGUCGUGACAGGUGAUAUCAGGAUGAUCAAAGGGGAGGCUUGCCUGGAAGCUCCGAUGAAAGGGGAGAAGGGUCGUUGUCGAAGUAGUCGAUCACAGGGACAUCCACAGCGGUCUCGGGGUCUACCGGGGAGAAGAAGAAGGGGAAGGAACAAUGAAUAUAGAGCAAACAAGAGCAAUACUAUGCAUGAAAAGACAAAAAGCAAUGCUAGGGGUGUUCUAACGCAGUACUACGCGAUACCGGCAAAGGGAGGAAACAUCCGGAAAAGUUUUCCCGAAGUUUGGCAUUUUCGACAAAUGAAACGAAGGGGGACGGUUGCAGGUUUGCUAUGCUAGGGAGUGUGGCAGACGAACGGGCUGUAUAUUCAGAUUCGUCUCGUUGUUCUGAACAACUUUCAUGUAUAAAACUUUUUCAUCCGAGCUAGGAAUUAUUUUCUAUUAUUUUUCAAUGAUUUACUAAUAUUCUGGAAUUUCUGGAAUUAUUAUAUUUAAUUAAUUCGAAUUGACCAAGUCAACUUGACUAGUCAAAAGGGCAGGUGUGGCCCACAUGUCAUAUACUAUUCACCUAAACAAAUAAAUAAACCUAACUUAUUAAAGGAGGCGUACAUGUCAUCUACUAAUAGACAACUUAGAACUAAACUAGUACUACUAUUAAGCCUAGCCUAAUUAAACCAAUGGCCGGCCGGCGGCAUAGCCAGCCGUGUCUGUACUCACGCACGUACACACUACACACGCACAAUGGCCAUGGCCACAACCAGUGCAGCCGCAUGAGCAAGUAGCAGCAGCAAUUAGAGUAGCAGCAGCACUAGCUAGUGGGAUUGGAGGAGCGGCAGCAGCACUAAACAGCAGCGGCGCCGGCGCAACAGCAAGCAGUGACGGGAGCAGGGCGCAGCAGCGCCCUGCCAGCAGCAGCAAGCCGAGGCCAUGCGUGGGCGUGCACCACAAUAGCAUGCCGCGACGAGGCCACGCAUGGGCGUGCGCGCACAGCAGCAAUAGCGACAGGGCAGGAGCAGCAACUACACACACACACAUACACAUACACGGGGGUUCGGGCGAUGGCGAACAACGGCGUAAAGAGACACGGAUUGAAGGGGGAAAGGGGUGGAAUCGGCCGAGGAGCUCACCACUAAGCUCUGAGACGUGGAUUCGCGGCGCGGGGGCGACCGGAUGCGACGAGCUCGACGAUGAGAGACGACGGCCGUGGCGGAAAAUCAGCUCGAUCCCGAGCGUAUAGUGCGGCUCCGGUCGAACGGACGCACGGAGAUGACGGAGUCGGUGACUAGGAAGUCCCUGGACAAGCUCCCGUUCGCCGGGAAGGUCAGUGGCCACGGGGACGGCGACAGCGCAUCGACGGUAGCUCGGGCAUGAGGUUCUCAGGAGAAACAUGAGUGGGAGAGGGGAUAUUUGUGGGCUAGGGUUUGUCUACAGCGACGAGGGGGAUCUUAUCCUUCUCGAUGUGUUGUGGAUGCUCGAUACGAGCUAAUCGGGCG